UGUAGGUGCAAAAGGAGGCGUAGGCGGAAAAAGGGCUGUUGAAGUCAUUUACAACUUAACAGCCGAUUUAGCCUAAAUUGGUAUUUGGGCCUGCCUGAACAGGCAAUGGCCCGAAGCUACCAUCCGUUGGAUUAUGGCUGAACGCCUCUAAGUCAGAAUCCGUGCUAGAACGCGACGAUUACCGCCUUUUCCGAUUUUUAGUUGAAUACGAAUAGAGCUUCGGCUCCUGAAUCAUGCUACGCGGGGUUAUCUUGUGGAGCGGAAAGGCUUCAUGAGGUUCCUACUAAUGUCAAUUUCAAAUAUUGGAAGAGAUAAAUCCAUUGCAGACGACUUUUAUUGAACGAGGUAUUGUAAGCUGUAGAGUAGCCUUGUUGCUACGAUCAGCUGAGAUUAAGUCCAUUGUACUACAGAUUU
rnacentral:ncRNA from 1 species